rnacentral:lncRNA from 1 species
AAAAGAAAAACAAAAGCGAAAGCGAAAGAGAGACAAAAGAUUCUUAAUCACAUGAUUAAUUAGAUUUAGAAGUGAAAAUAAUGAAAUGGGGAAAUAGAACGUAAAUGCAAAAGCUGCUGUGUUUUGUUGAUGAUGGUGUUGUUAUUAGGAGAUAAAAAGAAGGCCCACAGAUAGUGGAGAACGAGUGGCAGAAGUAGCACCACCACAGGCAGUGUUCGGGUGAUUGCCUAGAGCCAACCAGCCAUGACUGGCUGGGUUAGGGCUGGCAUCUCCUACCUUUGUCUUUAUAGCCGGCAACUCUUUAGACACACUCGGUUUUAGGUCUCCUUAUUGUCUCCUUUUGCUUUUCAUCCCCUCCACAUCUAUAGCUACCUCAUCUUCUUUCCAUAUCCUCUCUCUCUCUCUCUCUCUCUUUCUCUUUUGGGUUCCAAAUGUGCCUCAAAUAUUUAUUUACUUCCUGCUUCUGUAAUUUUCAAUCUUUGCAAUGAGUAACUGUAUUUUCAAGUGCUGGGUUUAUUUAACAUAAUCUGUAUGAGUUAAUACAUGCUUCCCGA